AACGAACGCUGGCGGCAGGCCUAACACAUGCCAGUCGAACGAACCUUUCGGGGCUAGUGGCGGACGGGUGCGUAACGCGUGGGAACGUGCCUUUAGGUUCGGAAUAACUCAGGGAAACGUGUGCUAAUACCGAAUGUGCCCUUCGGGGGAAAGAUUAAUCGCCUUUAGAGUGGCCCGCGUCUGAUUAGCUAGUUGGUGGAGGGAAUGGCUCACCAAGGCGACGAGCAAUAGCUGGUCUGAGAGGAUGAUCAGCCACAUUGGGACUGAGACACGGCCCAGACUCCUACGGGAGGCAGCAGUGGGGAAUAUUGGACAAGGGGCGAAAGCCUGAUCCAGCAAUGCCGGGUGAGUGAUGAAGGCCUUAGGGUUGUAAAGCUCUUUUACCCGGGAUGAUAAUGACAGUACCGGGAGAAUAAGCGCCGGCUAACUCCGUG
rnacentral:rRNA from 1 species